rnacentral:lncRNA from 1 species
UAAAAUUUUGUACGAAAAAAAUCUUCAAGGAAAGAAACUUACUAACUCCCAAAAUCCAGAGAAUGAACUGUUUUCAGAAAGAUGCCUGCAAAACCUACACUACAUCAAGAAGAUCCAGAAUGAACUUUGAGAUAUAGUUAAUAGAACUGAAGGUUGAAUGAACAUUUAUUUUGAUUAUAUACUCUUAUGCCAAAAGGGGUCUGCCCCCUAAUUGGUUUUUGUCAAUGCACCCAACAAAACAUUGGUUUUGCUUCCUCUCUCUUCUAUUUCCCUCUUAUCUCUAACUAUUAUAGUUUUCCUCAUAGAAGGUGAAAUUUUAUAUGCACCUGUAGUUAGAAGAUUUUAGAGGUACAAGAUGAUUAUAUUAAGUGAUCAACUGGGGAGACUAGUCUCCUGAUCACCAUCAGGGAAUUGUGAAAUUGAGAUUUACUCCACCUUACUUAUUCUUUAGAAUUUUAGCCACCAGGAAGGUAUACACCUCCACUUAAGGAUUAAGUAUGGGAGGGUUAGGUCUAUGACCCAAGUGUGCUAGCAAGUGACAAAUCAGAAACAACUGACUGCCCUCCUGGGCAGUCCAAAGCCAAGUUUAAGCCACCAUUGGUACACAUAAGACACAGGAAGUGAUGCAAAGAACUGCCUUUAUAUUUCGCAGUCACUUCCUGUGAGGAGGUUUUCUCCUUGGAACUUGACUAUGGAGGAGCUACGGUUUGAGAUCUCAGACUGCUUCCCCUUGGACUGCCACAUGUCAGGAGGUCCUACCCAGCGAUGUGUGUUUACUUCAACUCAAGACGGAAGGGUUGUUCUUUCCACUGGCUUUCCAAUCAAGACACUGACAGCCAGCCAGCCAGCCAUCAAAUUCCCUGCUGGUGAGACUCUGCCUCCUGUUCUUUCUCUGGAUCUUCUGCACACAUAUAAUUGCAGAUGCAUGGGCCCCCUAAGCAAAAGAAGACCCAGAUUUCCUCCUUCUUCUCCUGCCACCCAGUGGAUUUUCCUCCAACCAGAAGUCAUGAAAAUGCAUCUGGAUCCCAGAGAGGAGCUGAUGUUUGAUUCUGCACAUAGUAUGAAAGAAAAAGUCUCCGUCCAGUAUAUCACUGUUUUGUGCCUCUCCUAUGUGUGGUGUCAUGUAUUCUUUCUGCUAGCUGUCUCCCCACUGCUUCUGAUGAAUUUCCUUAUCCCAGAGGCUGGGGAAAUUCAAGGAAGCUUUGAGCUAUAUUCCCAAGCUCAAGAACCAAACUUCAACUGCGGUAAAUCAAGGCUGCAAAUACAAGCCAUCUAUGAAUAA